rnacentral:rRNA from 1 species
UUUUGCGAUACUUGGUGUGAAUUGCAGAAUCCCGUGAACCAUCGAGUCUUUGAACGCAAGUUGCGCCCGAAGCCAUUAGGCUGAGGGCACGUCUGCCUGGGUGUCA